rnacentral:rRNA from 1 species
GACGAACGCUGGCGGCGUGCUUAACACAUGCAAGUCGAACGGAAAGGCCCUGCUUUUGUGGGGUGCUCGAGUGGCGAACGGGUGAGUAACACGUGAGUAACCUGCCCUUGACUUUGGGAUAACUUCAGGAAACUGGGGCUAAUACCGGAUAGGAGCUCCUGCUGCAUGGUGGGGGUUGGAAAGUUUCGGCGGUUGGGGAUGGACUCGCGGCUUAUCAGCUUGUUGGUGGGGUAGUGGCUUACCAAGGCUUUGACGGGUAGCCGGCCUGGGAGGGUGACCGGCCACAUUGGGACUGAGAUACGGCCCAGACUCCUACGGGACGCAGCAGGGGGGAAUAUUGCACAAUGGGCGGAAGCCUGAUGCAGCAACGCCGCGUGCGGGAUGACGGCCUUCGGGUUGUAAACCGCUUUCGCCUGUGACGAAGCGUGAGUGACGGUAAUGGGUAAAGAAGCACCGGCUAACUACGUG